rnacentral:snoRNA from 1 species
GUGUGUUUUUAAGGUUGAUACAAUGCUUUAAGAGGCUAACACAGAAGGGUAAAAGACACUUCCAUAAAACAGAGACUAGACUGCAAAACUCCUCCUGUCUGGAGUUUCAGCU